GGGUUGUGAGGUUAAGCGACUAAGCGUACACGGUGGAUGCCCUGGCAGUCAGAGGCGAUGAAGGACGUGCUAAUCUGCGAUAAGCGUCGGUAAGGUGAUAUGAACCGUUAUAACCGGCGAUUUCCGAAUGGGGAAACCCAGUGUGUUUCGACACACUAUCAUUAACUGAAUCCAUAGGUUAAUGAGGCGAACCGGGGGAACUGAAACAUCUAAGUACCCCGAGGAAAAGAAAUCAACCGAGAUUCCCCCAGUAGCGGCGAGCGAACGGGGAGCAGCCCAGAGCCUGAAUCAGUGUGUGUGUUAGUGGAAGCGUCUGGAAAGGCGCGCGAUACAGGGUGACAGCCCCGUACACAAAAAUGCACAUGCUGUGAGCUCGAUGAGUAGGGCGGGACACGUGGUAUCCUGUCUGAAUAUGGGGGGACCAUCCUCCAAGGCUAAAUACUCCUGACUGACCGAUAGUGAACCAGUACCGUGAGGGAAAGGCGAAAAGAACCCCGGCGAGGGGAGUGAAAAAGAACCUGAAACCGUGUACGUACAAGCAGUGGGAGCACGCUUAGGCGUGUGACUGCGUACCUUUUGUAUAAUGGGUCAGCGACUUAUAUUCUGUAGCAAGGUUAACCGAAUAGGGGAGCCGAAGGGAAACCGAGUCUUAACUGGGCGUUAAGUUGCAGGGUAUAGACCCGAAACCCGGUGAUCUAGCCAUGGGCAGGUUGAAGGUUGGGUAACACUAACUGGAGGACCGAACCGACUAAUGUUGAAAAAUUAGCGGAUGACUUGUGGCUGGGGGUGAAAGGCCAAUCAAACCGGGAGAUAGCUGGUUCUCCCCGAAAGCUAUUUAGGUAGCGCCUCGUGAAUUCAUCUCCGGGGGUAGAGCACUGUUUCGGCAAGGGGGUCAUCCCGACUUACCAACCCGAUGCAAACUGCGAAUACCGGAGAAUGUUAUCACGGGAGACACACGGCGGGUGCUAACGUCCGUCGUGAAGAGGGAAACAACCCAGACCGCCAGCUAAGGUCCCAAAGUCAUGGUUAAGUGGGAAACGAUGUGGGAAGGCCCAGACAGCCAGGAUGUUGGCUUAGAAGCAGCCAUCAUUUAAAGAAAGCGUAAUAGCUCACUGGUCGAGUCGGCCUGCGCGGAAGAUGUAACGGGGCUAAACCAUGCACCGAAGCUGCGGCAGCGACGCUUAUGCGUUGUUGGGUAGGGGAGCGUUCUGUAAGCCUGUGAAGGUGUACUGUGAGGUAUGCUGGAGGUAUCAGAAGUGCGAAUGCUGACAUAAGUAACGAUAAAGCGGGUGAAAAGCCCGCUCGCCGGAAGACCAAGGGUUCCUGUCCAACGUUAAUCGGGGCAGGGUGAGUCGACCCCUAAGGCGAGGCCGAAAGGCGUAGUCGAUGGGAAACAGGUUAAUAUUCCUGUACUUGGUGUUACUGCGAAGGGGGGACGGAGAAGGCUAUGUUGGCCGGGCGACGGUUGUCCCGGUUUAAGCGUGUAGGCUGGUUUUCCAGGCAAAUCCGGAAAAUCAAGGCUGAGGCGUGAUGACGAGGCACUACGGUGCUGAAGCAACAAAUGCCCUGCUUCCAGGAAAAGCCUCUAAGCAUCAGGUAACAUCAAAUCGUACCCCAAACCGACACAGGUGGUCAGGUAGAGAAUACCAAGGCGCUUGAGAGAACUCGGGUGAAGGAACUAGGCAAAAUGGUGCCGUAACUUCGGGAGAAGGCACGCUGAUACGUAGGUGAAGUCCCUCGCGGAUGGAGCUGAAAUCAGUCGAAGAUACCAGCUGGCUGCAACUGUUUAUUAAAAACACAGCACUGUGCAAACACGAAAGUGGACGUAUACGGUGUGACGCCUGCCCGGUGCCGGAAGGUUAAUUGAUGGGGUCAGCGCAAGCGAAGCUCUUGAUCGAAGCCCCGGUAAACGGCGGCCGUAACUAUAACGGUCCUAAGGUAGCGAAAUUCCUUGUCGGGUAAGUUCCGACCUGCACGAAUGGCGUAAUGAUGGCCAGGCUGUCUCCACCCGAGACUCAGUGAAAUUGAACUCGCUGUGAAGAUGCAGUGUACCCGCGGCAAGACGGAAAGACCCCGUGAACCUUUACUAUAGCUUGACACUGAACAUUGAGCCUUGAUGUGUAGGAUAGGUGGGAGGCUUGGAAGUGUGGACGCCAGUCUGCAUGGAGCCGACCUUGAAAUACCACCCUUUAAUGUUUGAUGUUCUAACGUUGACCCGUAAUCCGGGUUGCGGACAGUGUCUGGUGGGUAGUUUGACUGGGGCGGUCUCCUCCUAAAGAGUAACGGAGGAGCACGAAGGUUGGCUAAUCCUGGUCGGACAUCAGGAGGUUAGUGCAAUGGCAUAAGCCAGCUUGACUGCGAGCGUGACGGCGCGAGCAGGUGCGAAAGCAGGUCAUAGUGAUCCGGUGGUUCUGAAUGGAAGGGCCAUCGCUCAACGGAUAAAAGGUACUCCGGGGAUAACAGGCUGAUACCGCCCAAGAGUUCAUAUCGACGGCGGUGUUUGGCACCUCGAUGUCGGCUCAUCACAUCCUGGGGCUGAAGUAGGUCCCAAGGGUAUGGCUGUUCGCCAUUUAAAGUGGUACGCGAGCUGGGUUUAGAACGUCGUGAGACAGUUCGGUCCCUAUCUGCCGUGGGCGCUGGAGAACUGAGGGGGGCUGCUCCUAGUACGAGAGGACCGGAGUGGACGCAUCACUGGUGUUCGGGUUGUCAUGCCAAUGGCACUGCCCGGUAGCUAAAUGCGGAAGAGAUAAGUGCUGAAAGCAUCUAAGCACGAAACUUGCCCCGAGAUGAGUUCUCCCUGACUCCUUGAGAGUCCUGAAGGAACGUUGAAGACGACGACGUUGAUAGGCCGGGUGUGUAAGCGCAGCGAUGCGUUGAGCUAACCGGUACUAAUGAACCGUGAGGCUUAACCUUACAACGCCGAAGGUGUUU
rnacentral:rRNA from 1 species